AUUGAACGCUGGCGGCAGGCCUAACACAUGCAAGUCGAACGGUAACAGGAAGACGCUUGCUUCUUUGCUGACGAGUGGCGGACGGGUGAGUAAUGUCUGGGAAACUGCCUGAUGGAGGGGGAUAACUACUGGAAACGGUAGCUAAUACCGCAUAACGUCGCAAGACCAAAGAGGGGGACCUUCGGGCCUCUUGCCAUCGGAUGUGCCCAGAUGGGAUUAGCUAGUAGGUGGGGUAACGGCUCACCUAGGCGACGAUCCCUAGCUGGUCCGAGAGGAUGACCAGCCACACUGGAACUGAGACACGGUCCAGACUCCUACGGGAGGCAGCAGUGGGGAAUAUUGCACAAUGGGCGCAAGCCUGAUGCAGCCAUGCCGCGUGUAUGAAGAAGGCCUUCGGGUUGUAAAGUACUUUCAGCGGGGAGGAAGGGAGUAAAGUUAAUACCUUUGCUCAUUGACGUUACCCGCAGAAGAAGCACCGGCUAACUCCGUG
rnacentral:rRNA from 1 species